rnacentral:rRNA from 1 species
GACGAACCGUGCGAACGUUAUUCGGAAUCACUGGGCUUAAAGCGCGUGUAGGCGGGAGGGCACGUCCGUCGCUGAAAUCCCCCGGCUCAACCGGGGAACGGGCGCGGAUACGACCUUCUUGGAGGGGCGUAGGGGGACCUGGAACUUCCGGUGGAGCGGUGAAAUGCGUUGAGAUCGGAAGGAACGCCCGUGGCGAAAGCGAGGUCCUGGACGCCUACUGACGCUGAGACGCGAAAGCCAGGGGAGCGAACGGG